rnacentral:rRNA from 1 species
UACGGAGGGUGCAAACGUUGCUCGGAAUCAUUGGGCGUAAAGCGCACGUAGGCGGCCUGUUAAGCCGGGUGUGAAAGCCCUGGGCUCAACCCAGGAAGUGCACUCGAAACUGGCGGGCUUGAAUAUGGAAGAGGGUCGCGGAAUUCCCGGUGUAGAGGUGAAAUUCGUAGAUAUCGGGAGGAACACCAGUGGCGAAGGCGGCGACCUGGGCCAAUAUUGACGCUGAGGUGCGAAAGCGUGGGGAGCAAACAGG